UUGAAGGCUUUCUGAAUAAAGAGAAAAACCUAUGCAUAAGGGUACCGCCCAGUGAAAGGGACAAAUACUAGGGAUAAAACAAGGAUAACAAUAAGGGAUAGAUCAAUAUGUCGGUUAAUGGAAAGCUGCCAUUUUUUCUCUCUAAGCUUAUAAAUAUGUGUUAAAACCAGAGAACGGGGAUUUUAAGUAUUGGUGCUGAGUGAGAAACUUUAACUUCUCUGUGGGAAUAAAGUACAAAGUUUUUGCGAAAAUUAUAAAGUGAAUUUAAAUAUAAUAAAAGCGAUAUCUGCCGAAUAUUGAUUUGAUUAAAGUAAAGGUGACUAUCGCAGGGUGUUGUUAUAAAUAAAGUGGUCAAAGUCCAAUUUUAUCCUCAGACGCAUUAUUGAACCAGCAAUCAAGAAAGGCCACCAGAAACCUUGUUUGUUGGACGGAAGUGUCGUAGAGGAAAUAUAGCCACUAAAAUAGAUUACCCAAGUAGAAAGCCGAAAAAAGGUAGGACAUUAGUAUUGCCAAUUACCUUAGGGAGCAAAGCCCACUGCCAUCUAGUGGAAACACCCGAGCUGACAAAAACUUUGCAAAAGCUCAGUACCAGAACUUUACCAGAGAAUAUAUAACUUUGUGCCCGAGCGAAUUCACGUAUAACAGUUAUAAUUCGCCGAAGUACCUCUGCCACAGUCAGUCCCGUAUAAAAAGACUGGCAUUUGGUUAUGUGACGACCGAUUGAGAUCAAAAUAAUCAUAUCCAGUUAAAAUCGUCAAAGAAAAUAAUUUUCAUAAAGUAUAUUUAGUUUCUAAGUGUAUAACGUAUUGUAUGAUUUAUUUAUAUUUUGCUUUGCAUGUUUUAUUUUAUUUUUUUUUAUCCAAAUUGACUAUUUUUAUUUGAGUGUAAAUGAUAACGUUUCCUUUUUCCUGUUUGGAAAUACCUACAAUUCCCUCGUCUAGUUUACGUCGUAUUUGUUUCACAUUAGGAACCACAAUUGUGCAUCUGGUGAUAUAGUUGAUCCUAAGCCAUAGGUUGUCUAUAAUAGAGCUCUAUUAGGAAAUCUAGGUUAUUGGAGUUUAUUGAGCAUAGUCCACUGAUAAGGACGUAGUUUUGCAAAAUAUUGUGGGUUCUAAUAGACCAGUUGGUCAAUCGUUCUGUUUAUCAAGAUUUCUUUUAUUUGGUUCAAAGAACCUUUCGAAA